GGACAUGCGGGCAACGCCUGNNCCAGCCAUUCCGCGUGAGUGAAGAAGGCCUUCGGGUUGUAAAGCUCUUUCGGCCGGGACGAAAUCGCACGGGCUAAUACCCUGUGUGGAUGACGGUACCGGAAGAAGAAGCACCGGCUAACUACGUGCCAGCAGCCGCGGUAAUACGUAGGGUGCGAGCGUUGAUCGGAAUUACUGGGCGUAAAGCGUGCGCAGGCGGUUUUGUAAGACCGAUGUGAAAUCCCCGGGCUUAACCUGGGAACUGCAUUGGUGACUGCAAGGCUAGAGUGUGUCAGAGGGAGGUGGAAUUCCACGUGUANCAGNGAAAUGCGUAGAGAUGUGGAGGAACACCGAUGGCGAAGGCAGCCUCCUGGGAUAACACUGACGCUCAUGCACGAAAGCGUGGGGAGCAAACAGGAUUAGAUACCCUGGUAGUCCACGCCCUAAACGAUGUCAACUAGUUGUUGGGAAAGAGAUUUCUUAGUAACGCAGCUAACGCGUGAAGUUGACCGCCUGGGGAGUACGGCCGCAAGGUUAAAACUCAAAAAAAUUGACGGA
rnacentral:rRNA from 1 species